rnacentral:rRNA from 1 species
GGGAUUGCCUCAGUAACGGCGAGUGAAGCGGCAACAGCUCAAAUUUGAAAUCUGGCCCCUUCGGGACCCGAGUUGUAAUUUGUAGAGAGUGUUUCGGGUGAGACCACGGUCUAAGUCCAUUGGAACAUGGCGUCAUAGAGGGUGAGAAUCCCGUAUGUGACCGUGGAUCGAGCCCAUGUGAAGCCUCUUCAACGAGUCGAGUUGUUUGGGAAUGCAGCUCAAAAUGGGUGGUAAAUUUCAUCUAAAGCUAAAUACUGGCUGGAGACCGAUAGCGCACAAGUAGAGUGAUCGAAAGAUGAAAAGCACUUUGGAAAGAGAGUCAAACAGUACGUGAAAUUGUUGAAAGGGAAGCGCUUGCAACCAGACCUGUCCGUAGGUGAUCAGCCGCUGUUUUCAGUGGUGCACUCGCUCUGCGAUCAGGCCAGCAUCGGUUUCGGCGGCCGGAUAAAGGCCUUGGGAAUGUAGCUUCCCUUCGGGGGAGUCUUAUAGCCCUCGGUGCCAUGCGGCCAGCCGGGACCGAGGACCGCGCUUCGGCUAGGAUGCUGGCGUAAUGGUUGUAA